ensembl:rRNA 5S_rRNA 5S ribosomal RNA
ACCUACAGCCACGCCAUCCUGAACACGCCUAAUCCCCUCUGAUCUUGGAAGCUAAGCAGGGUCGGGCCUGGUUAAUACUUGGAUGGGAGACCACCUAGGAAGACCAGGUUCUGUAGGAA